GACGAACGCUGGCGGCGUGCCCAACACAUGCAAGUCGAACGAGCGGCGGACGGGUGAGUAAUGUAUGGGGAACUGCCCGAUAGAGGGGGAUAACUACUGGAAACGGUGGCUAAUACCGCAUACCAUCAGAUGAACCCAUAUGGGAUUUGCUAGUAGGUGGGGUAAAGGCCCACCUAGGCGACGAUCCCUAGCUGGUCUGAGAGGAUGAUCAGCCACACUGGAACUGAGACACGGCCCAGACUCCUACGGGAGGCAGCAGUGGGGAAUAUUGCACAAUGGGCGCAAGCCUGAUGCAGCCAUGCCGCGUGUAUGAAGAAGGCCUUAGGGUUGUAAAGUACUUUCAGCGGGGAGGCGUUACCCGCAGAAGAAGCACCGGCUAACUACGUGCCAGCAGCCGCGGUAAUAC
rnacentral:rRNA from 1 species